rnacentral:lncRNA from 14 species
CGAGCGCAGGAGUUCCCCGUCUCAUCCUUCCCUUCCCCUUGCAGCAGCGGCAUCUGAAACUGAAGUCCUUGCCAUGCCAGGCUGCUGAAGAACCUUGUACAUGUAUUACGGGAUCAGAAGCAAUAAAUCCAGAGAUCCACUGAAGCCCCAGCAUCACACACUGAAGGCCCAAGUCUCCCCAGAACAGCAAUCACACAGAGUCCGAGCCAAAUGAAGACCAUGUUGCCUUCAGGGUAAGCUGCCUGUGAAGACCCAUG